rnacentral:rRNA from 1 species
UACGGGGGGGGCAAGCGUUGUUCGGAAUUACUGGGCGUAAAGGGUUCGUAGGUGGCCCGCUAAGUCACACGUGAAAUCCCUCAGCUUAACUGGGGAACUGCGUGUGAGACUGGCAGGCUUGAGUGCAGGAGAGGAACGCGGAAUUCCAGGUGUAGCGGUGAAAUGCGUAGAUAUCUGGAGGAAUACCGGUGGCGAAGGCGGCAUCCUGGACCGAGAUUGACACUGAUGAGCGAAAGCCAGGGGAGCAAACGGG